rnacentral:misc_RNA from 1 species
GCUGCUAAUGAUGAACCAGAGAAAUGAUUUUUCUUGUAUAACCUUUUAGCCUCAACAAGGCCAAAAUAGAGGUGUGAAAUACCUCUGAAGAGUUGCAAUGAAGCAGAUUGACAAGGUGUACCUCAUUUAUCUACAGUAGUCAAGUCAACCUGCCCGUGCCUUUUGAUUCUUUUAUUAAUGGCAUACGCAGCCUGCAAGGCGCAAGCUAAGAUCCGGUCUUUCCCUUAGAAGAAAAGAAUCGGCUGAAACCACGAGAUUGUUUUUCAG